AAUCAGGUCGGCUAAUUGGAUGAAUCCAUCAGCUGAUUCAAUUCCUUUAAUUUGUUAAUUUAACAGUAAUUUAAUCAGUGGUUGUUGAACUGACGAUGGCUUGUUAAAAAUAUUUGACAUACCACCCAACCAUCAGUGCGUCUCCCACCAAGACUAUAAGUCUGACAGCUUCAGCAGUGACAUCACUUAUUGUUAUCCUGCAGAGUUCAUUUGGUAACGCAUGAGUACUCUAACGCGUUACUUUAAUUCAAAGGUGACGCUGUAACGUAACAGAUUACUUUUAAUUGAUGGUCAUGUUGUAACCUAAUGAACUACUUCCCAAAGUAACUAUACCCAACACUGAUGGUGACAGUGAUCAGUGGCCUGCAGACACACUCAGUUAAAAUGUGUGUGUCAUCAUGUCAUUGUGUCAUUGUGUCAGAUCAGGUGACUUACGUGACAUGUCUACAUGGUCGCCAUCAAUUGUCAUGUUGAAUGAUAAACCAAUGCAGGAUCCAUUUCUGGAGAGAAAGAUGGUGGAACAUCAUGCAACCCUGAACGCAACUGGACGUUAUGAUUUGGAGAUAUGUGAGCCUGGAGCAGCAUAUAGACAGAAAUAAAGUUAGAAACCUGAACCCAA